rnacentral:rRNA from 1 species
GACGAACGCUGGCGGCGUGCUUAACCCAUGCAAGUCGAACGGAAAGGCCCUGCUUUUGUGGGGUGCUCGAGUGGCGAACGGGUGAGUAACACGUGAGUAACCUGCCCUUGACUUUGGGAUAACUUCAGGAAACUGGGGCUAAUACCGGAUAGGAGCUCCUGCUGCAUGGUGGGGGUUGGAAAGUUUCGGCGGUUGGGGAUGGACUCGCGGCUUAUCAGCUUGCUGGUGGGGUAGUGGCUUACCAAGGCUUUGACGGGUAGCCGGCCUGAGAGGGUGACCGGCGACAUUGGGACUGAGGGAGGGACCAGACUCCUACGGGAGGCAGCGGUGGGGAGUCUUACACAAUGGGCGGGAGCCUGAUGCAGCAACGCCGGGUGCGGGAUGACGGCCUUCGGGUUGUAAACCGCUUUCGCCUGUGACGAAGCGUGAGUGACGGUAAUGAGUAAAGAAGCACCGGCUAACUACGUG